GGUGUCAUUGCACUUCGACGCUGUUGACCUCUGCGAGUAUCUCAAAUGCAGAUACCUCGGGCGUGUAAUUUUUGAUAGUCGGGCUAGCGUUCGCGCUGGCCCGGU
rfam:Gossypium arboreum cultivar AKA8401 contig_359445_1, whole genome shotgun sequence.